UACAGGGGGUGCAAACGUUGCUCGGAAUUAUUGGGCGUAAAGCGCGCGUAGGCGGCCACUUAAGUCGGAUGUGAAAGCCCCUGGCUCAACUGGGGAAGUGCACCCGAAACUGAAUGGCUUGAAUGCAAAAGAGGGUCGCGGAAUUCCCGGUGUAGAGGUGAAAUUCGUAGAUAUCGGGAGGAACACCAGUAGCGAAGGCGGCCGGCUGGGCCGACCCUGACGCUGAGGCGCGAAAGCUAGGGGAGCAAACGGG
rnacentral:rRNA from 1 species